ACACGUGUCACUUGAGAUCCUAUUGUGGUCAUUCACCUCUGUCCAGCAACUCCUAUCCCAACCUCCACGUUGUGCCGACCGGGAUACGAGUAACCUUAGCGGAGAUCGGGUAACCAACCCCGGUGGAAACUUUGGUCGUAUGCUGACUGGGAAGGGGGAACGUACGCGGCUGAUUCCCCAUGUUAGGGGCGGCGUACAACAGCGUCUGAUCCGGAGCGGGCGGCUGAAUCAUGAAACGCGGUGUCUCGCCAGCUAUAUCAAAGACGGCAGCCCCGUCGCGAGACUAGGUAUCGCAGCCCUAGUAAGCAUACUGAAUAUUAAAUACUACGAACAAUUCAGAUAUAAAUACGGAACGGAAUAAUCGGCAUGGACCUAGGCGAACGAAAAAGGACAACGAUUAUUGGAAACUCGGUACUUGGAAUGUAAGGACUCUACUCGAACCGGCACGCGCAAGUAUACUGGCUAGAGAGCUGAGGAAGGUGAAUGUGGGGGUUGCAGCUAUCCAAGAGGUGCGGUGGCCGAAAUCGGGAGAACGCGAAUUCCGAGCAGUAGAUUCUAUUGUGGACACUUCAUUUAAGUACCACAUCUACUAUAGCGGCGGCGUGAAAGCAGAAAGAGGAGUCGGUUUCGUGCUAAUUGGAAAACAGAUGAAGCGUGUCAUUAGAUAGAGGCCGAUCAGUGACCGUAUAUGCGUGUUGAGAAUUAAGGGCAAAUUCUUCAACUACAGCCUGAUAAAUGUGUACGCACCGACCAACGAGAAACUCGAUGUCGAAAAGGAGGAGUUCUAUGAGCACCUGGAAAAGACAUACAAUGAGUGCCCAGGACACGAUAUAAAGAUUGUCAUCGGAGAUGCAAAUGCACAGGUCGGGCAGGAAGACUUCUUCCGCCCCGUAACUGGUAGGGAAAGCUUCCACUCUACUACGAACGACAAUGGCCUGAGGCUUGUUAAUUUCGCUGCAGCUAGGGGGAUGGCUAUCUGUAGCACAUAUUUUGCACGCCGGAACAUACGUAAGCACACCUGGAUGCAGCCGAAUGGAGAGCUUUGCUCUUAAAUUGACCACGUUCUGAUUGAUGGACGGCACUUUUCAGACGUUACAGACGUGAGGUCGUUCAGAGGACCGAACGUUGACUCGGAUCACUAUCUCGUAGUAGCCAAAAUCCGCGCCCGGCUGUCCAAAGUGCUGAAAUCCAAGGCAACGAGGAGGAUGCAGUUGAACAUCCAGCGGCUAUCAACUGAAGGAGUGGCUGCAGAGUACUCGCAGAAAGUUGAUGAACGGAUUGAGGAAAAAGUUGAAGGGAACCUGAAUGAACAGUGGAGGCACAUCCAAAGUUCGAUCAGCACUACAGCGCGAGAAGUGUUGGGUACAACUGCGGUAGCUGCGCCUAAUGAGUGGUUUGACGCUGAGUGCCAGCGAGUAACGGAGGAGAAGAACCGCGCCAGGGGUCAUAUGUUGGCCACGGCUGUGACUCGUCAGAGCAUGAGUAGAUAUCGAGAUGCAAGAGCCGCUGAAAAGAGACUCCAUCGCCGGAAGAAACGACAGCACUGGGAGCGUAUUCUUGCGGAGGCGGAAGGUUGCUUCUCCAGGCACGAUGCGAGGAGCUUCUACAAGAAGGUCAACGGAAUCAGGAAUCCAAACGUGUCAGUCCCUGUCAUGUGCAACGAUAGGGAGGGGAACCUGAUAACCGAUAAAACAGAGGUGGCCAGGCGUUGGAAGGAACACUUCAGUGUGCUGUUGAACGGUGAGGGAAACAGUGGAGUCGAAAGGGGCAGGAUGACUAUUGAGAAUGAUGGUCAAGCUGUGGAUCCACCAUCCAUGGACGAGGUGAAGAAAGCAGUGAAAGAGCUGAGAAACUGCAAGACAGUCGAGAAGGACGGCAUUCCCGCCAAACUCUUCAAAAUCGGGAGCGAACAGCUGUAUCGUGCCAUCCAUCGGAUCAUGCUGAGAGUGUGGUCUGAUGAUACCCUCGGACUGGUUGGAGGGUCUCAUAUGCCCGAUCUACAAAAAAGGCCAUCGCCUGGACUGUAGCAAUUAUCGGGGCAUAAAACUUCUCAAUACCGUGUACAAAAUUCUCUCCCGCAUCCUGUUCCACAGACUGAGGCCGUUGCAGGAGACCUUUUCGCCUUUCUCCUAGAAAGUUCCGCCACUGUUGUGGCCAAUCACCGACGCCCAGGGAGGCGACUUCACACCCAGGACCCUAACUCACGACCCGUUAUUAACGGACCGGCGCCAACGGCUUUACUUCCUCAUGCGAUGGAAGGCGUGAUCCCAGAGAUUUUUCGCCUCAGAAAAUCUCCCGGUGUCGGCUAGGAUUGAAUCUAGACCAGUUGGGUUGGUUGUGGGUGGAUCACGCCACCUCACAACCCUCGACACCUAUGUCGGCGGUGGGAUUCGAACCCGGGCGUCGAGCGUGGUUGGCGGAGACGUUACCAACCACACUAGACCCCCGCUCAAGAAGACCUUUGUUGGCGAGUACCAAUGCGGUUUUCGAGGGGGACGCUCUACGACGGACUAAAUGUUUACCUUGUGACAAAUCCUCGAUAAAUUUCGAGAAUACAACUUGCAGACGCACGCAUCUGUUCAUAGACUUCAGGGCAGCGUGCGAUUCAGUCAAGAGAAAUGAGUUAUGGCAGAUUAUGAUUGAACAUGGCUUCCCAACAAAGCUGAUUAGGCUGAUACGUGCCACCCUUGAAGGUUCUACAUCAAGCGUCAGGAUAGCCGGUGAAAUAUCGGACUCGUUCGUGACGUUAGAUAGUUUGAAGCAGGGUGACGGGCUGUCGAACUUAUUGUUCAACAUCGCAUUGGAAGGUGCUAUACGGAGGGCUGGUGUGCAGAGAAGCGGCACCAUCAUUACGGAGUCGCACAUGCUUCUCGGUUUUGCGGACGAUAUCGACAUUAUUGGUAUCAACCGUAGAGCUGUGGAAGAGGCCUUCGGACCUCUCCGGAGGGAAGCUGCGAGAUUAGGGCUUGUCAUAAACUCUGCCAAAACGAAAUACAUGGUGGCUGGCAGAGUGCGUGGUAGUCCGUCGGAGGUUGGUGCUGUGGUGGUGCUUGAUGGGAAACAUUUGAAGUAGUCGACGAAUUUAUUUACCUAGGAACAUUAGUGACAUGUGACAACGAGGUUAGCCGUGAGAUAAAGAGGCGGAUAGCAGCCGCAAACAGGGCCUUUUACGGACUACGUAACCAGCUAAGGUCCCGCAGUCUGCAAAUCCGUAUUAAGCUUGCACUCUAUAAAACACUGAUUCUUCCGGUGGCUCUCUGCGGCCAUGAAUCAUGGAUGCUGAAAGAGGCUGAUCGGCGAGCUCUUGGUGUUUUUGAGCGUAGGAUUUUGCGUUCAAUCCUUGGCGGCAAACUAGAAAAUGGUGUUUGGCGCAGACGCAUGAACCAUGAAGUGUACCAGGCAUACAAAUCGGUGGAUAUAGUCAAGCGGAUAAAACACAUAAGGCUUCAGUGGGCUGGGCAUGUAGCGGGAAUACCGGAUGAGCGUCAAGCGAAGGCUAUAUUUAGCAGGAAUUCCGAUAGAGGUCGCCGACUUCGGGGUAGACCCCGCACUCGUUGGAUGUGUGCUGUCGACGAGGAUGCACGCGAAAUAGCUGUUAGGGGCGAUUAAAGGAUAGCAGCCCAAGACCGAGGGACAUGGGACGUAUUCUGGAUUCGGCACUGGAUCGAUAAGCGGUCUGUCGCCUUAAAAUUAAAGUAAGUAAUGGGUUCACAACUGUGCAUCUAAUUAGCAACCGGUAAGAGAGAUUCCAAAAACGAUGUUUCAACGGAAGAAUACCCGCUAGCACUUUAAGACUCAUCAUAUGGGUCGACUGCAUGCAGUCCAUGACAAUACGCAAUACAUUUUACCCGUUAGUAGGAGCUCCAGCUGGGCUGGGUUAUGCUUCCUAGAAAAAACGACCAGCUCAGUUUUCUCCGGAGAGAAUUCGAUACCCAGCUUAAGAGCCCAUUCAGACAAAUUGUCUAAGGUAUCUUGCAAUGGACUUUGCAGAUCGUUAGCUUCGCUUCCAGUAAUGGGAACAACGCUACCGUCUGCAAGUUGCCUCAGCGUGCGUUAAUUUGCAAGACAUUCAUCGAUGUCAUUGACGUAAAAUUUAUUUAAGAGAGGGCUUAAACAUGAACCCUGGGAAAGACCCAUGUAACCAAUUCGGGAAGUUGUCGAAUCACCAUGUGAGAAAUACAUAUCCUUUUCUGACAACAAAUUGAGCAAAAAAUCAUUCAAAUUUGAUGAAAGUCCCUGUAAAUGAAGUUUCUCGGUUAAAACUUCUACAGAGACACAGUCAAAAGCCCCCUUAAUGUCCAAGAAUGCAGAAGCCAUUUGCUCUUUUCGAGCAAAGGCGAGUUGAAUUUCAGUAGAAAGCAACACUAGACAAUCGUUCAUUCCUUUGCCCCGGCGGAAGCCAAAUUGAGUAUCGGAAAGUAAACCAUUUGUUUCGACCCAUUUGUCUAACCGUAAGAGGAUCAUUUUCUCCAUUAAUUUCCAGGGGCAAGAGAGCAUAGGCCAGAUGCAGGUUUUCCGGGUUUUUGAAUAGCAAUGGCUUUUACCUCCCUUCAGCCGUGCGGAACAAUGUUUUGCUCAAGAAACUUGUUGAACAGGUUCAACAAGCGUCUUUUUGCAGAGUCGGGUAGAUUCUUCAGCAAGUUGAAUAUAGUUCUAUCCAAUCUCGCAAAAUUGUUGCACGAGAGGAGAGCCAUUGAAAAUUCCAACAUCGAAAAUGGAGGCUUUCCGUAGCUACUAAACACGCGUCGUGAAAGGUCUUCUGUUCCGGUACAGAGUCCGAACAGAUCUUCUUGGCAAAAUCAAGUACUGGAUACUCCUCACUCUCAUUCGAAUACUCCUCACUCUCAUUCGAAACGUUACGAUUCCGCAUGCGUCUGGCGGCAUCCCAAAGAGUGCUCAUCGCUGUUUCCCUCGACAACGCGUUUACAAACCGCCGCCAGUAUCCGCGUUUUUUUUGCUUUUAUCAAACUCUUCAUCUGUCUAUCCAGUACAUCGUAUUUUCGGAGCAAAUCAAUAGUGCCUUGUUCUCGGAAGGCCAAAUACAUCGAGGACCUUCGCGCGUACAGGUCUGAGCACUCUUUGUCCCUCCGCUUGGAGGGAGGGCGCCGUCUGAUCGUUACCCCGGGUAUCGGCUUCGUCUGAGCUUGAGUCGCGGUGUCGAUGAUCAAGCCAGAAAGGAACGCGUAUUCUUCCUCCGGAGGAAGUUCCAUGUGGGACUCGAUUCUUUGCAUAUUAUGGUCUCAUAAGACUUCCAAUCAAUGUUACGUGUGAGGUCAUACGCAAUAUUGAUUGGAUCCGCUGGAGUUGACCCAUUAGCAAUUGAAAUAACGAUUGGUAGGUGAUCACUACCGUGGGGAUCGUUGAUUACUUUCCACCGGCAAUCUAACGCUAGUGAUGUCGAGCAAAGGGAUAGGUCAAGCACGCUUUCACGUGCUGGAGGAUUAAGAACACGUGUCGCUUCCCCAGUAUUCAAAAGUGUCAUAUUGAAGUCGUCGAUUAAGUUACAGAUUGAAGAAGAUCGGUUGUCGCGUACAGCGUACAGCGACCUCAAUAGCGAACAGUGAGAAUUAAAAUCUGCCAAUAUCAAAAAAGGCGCGGGAAGCAACUCUGCUAUAUCAGUAAGAUGCCUCUCUUCAAUCCGCGCGGAUGGAGGGAUAUAUAACGAAACAAGGCAUAAGUCAUUUCCAUUCAUAUUCGUUUGAAUGGCAACGACUUCAAUAUUCGAGAUCGAGGGGAGGUCGAUUCUGAAAAAAGAAUAGCACUUUUUGAUCCCUAAAAGUACCCCUCCACCGUGUUAUUUUCGAUCUUGACGAAUUACGCUAGUGAAGUCGAGCAAAAUAUUGGAAAAUCGAUGGAAACAAACCAUAAAUUGCUCACAAAUUAUCAAACACUCAGCAAGACCCACGUCGACUCGCUCGAGGAAAUAGAAAAACACCUAAAUUCUAUCAAACAUAACAUUUCUAUUGCCGCAAGCAACAACAAUGCCAGGGCCACCGAAAUGAAAAAUAAAAUAUCCUCGCUUCUCGACGCACCUACCUGCGCCGCACCUAGUCGGAGCGCAUGCAGAAAAAAUGCUUAAAGAAAUAAACCGAAGCAUUUCUAGCAUUGCCAGCAGCAACGAAGCCAGUACAGCUGAAAUUAAAAAUACAAUAUCAUCAUUUUUCGACACCUUCGGACACCACAUCAGCUGUUGAAGCGGUGGUCAAAUCGACAGCAACAGCAACAGCAGCAGUAGCAACAAUAACAUCAACUACAAAUGCAACGACAGACUCAAUCAAUAAAUUAAUCACUACCCUAAAAAAUGACUUAGCUGAAUCUCGUGCUGCCCUUACGCGUGACGUUAGGUCUCACAUAGAAGAAAUGGCAAAAAAAUACCUGCACCCGUCAAUGUCCCAAUACUGAGCAUAGUAGCAAUACUGAAUCAACUUCUGGCUGGCGCUUCAUUGGAAGCAGAAAAAUUUGGAAAUGUGACUAGUCACAAAACGACCCAAAGCAGCGUUUACGUCGUCUGCAAGAAAAAAAGGAAGACAAAGCCAAGCAAAAGCGAAAGCAAUGGAAGCAGCACAACCAACUUUUCAAUCACAACUCUAGUACCAACAACAAUAAUAACAUUAUUAGUAGCAGAAAUAACAGUAACA